rnacentral:rRNA from 1 species
AGCAGCCACGGUAAUUUCAGCUUCAAUAGCGUAUAUUAAAGUUGUUGCAGUUAAAAAGCUCGUAGUUGAAUUUCGGGAUCAAAGAAUCGGUCAUGCCUUGGUAUGUACUGGUUUUAUUGGUUCUUACCUUCUAAAGAAUCAUGAUGUCAUUCAUUUGAUGUUAUGGGGAAUUAGGACUGUUACCUUGAAAAAAUUAGAGUGUUUAAAGCAAGCUUACGCUUGAAUACAUUAGCAUGGAAUAAUGAAAUAGGACAUCAGAUUCUAUUUUGUUGGUUUCUAGAAUCGAUGUAAUGAUUAAUAGGGAUAGUUGGGGGCAUUAGUAUUUAAUUGUCAGAGGUGAAAUUCUUGGAUUUAUUGAAGACUAACUACUGCGAAAGCAUUUGCCAAGGAUGUUUUCAUUAAUCAAGAACGAAAGUUAGGGGAUCGAAGACGAUCAGAUACCGUCGUAGUCUUAACCAUAAACUAUGCCGACUAGGGAUCGGAUGAUGCUAAUUUUUUAAUGACUCA